UACAGAGGUCUCAAGCGUUGUUCGGAUUCAUUGGGCGUAAAGGGUGCGUAGGUGGCGCCGUAAGUCGGGUGUGAAAUUUCGGAGCUUAACUCCGAAAACUGCAUUCGAUACUGCGGUGCUUUGAGGACUGGAGAGGAGACUGGAAAUUUCAUGGUGUAGCAGUGAAAAAUGCGUAGAGAUCAUGAGGGAAAGACCCAGUGGGCGAAAGGCGGGGGUC
rnacentral:rRNA from 1 species